AAAACAUUUGGACCGUCGGUCUACCGAGCAAUAUAACUUGCUUGGUGGAAGAUCUUCCUUUUUUCGU
rnacentral:pre_miRNA from 1 species